GACGAACGCUGGCGGCGUGCUUAACACAUGCAAGUCGAACGGAAAGGCCCUGCUUUUGUGGGGUGCUCGAGUGGCGAACGGGUGAGUAACACGUGAAUAACCUGCCCUUGACUUUGGGAUAACUUCAGGAAACUGGGGCUAAUACCGGAUAGGAGCUCCUGCUGCAUGGUGGGGGUUGGAAAGUUUCGGCGGUUGGGGAUGGACUCGCGGCUUAUCACCUUGUUGGUGGGGUAGUGGCUUACCAAGGCUUUGACGGGUUGCCGGCCUGAGAGGGUGACCGGCCACAUUGGGACUGAGAUACGGCCCAGACUCCUACGGGAGGCAGCAGUGGGGAAUAUUGCACAAUGGGCGGAAGCCUGAUGCAGCAACGCCGCGUGCGGGAUGACGGCCUUCGGGUUGUAAACCGCUUUCGCCUGUGACGAAGCGUGAGUGACGGUAAUGGGUAAAGAAGCACCGGCUAACUACGUG
rnacentral:rRNA from 1 species